GACACAUAUGGUUUUUUGGCAAAAAUUGUGUUUUGGUGAUGGAGAUGUGUUUGUAGAUCUUACUUUACUGAACAUUUUUACUGAUGACAAUUAUCUCUAUCUGUAAUGAACUUUUGCCAGUAGUUACAGUGGAAAAUAUUUUGUAAAAAUUUACAAAAUUUAUGAAAAUUGUUAAAAAUUGACUAUGAAGGGCAAUAACUCCUUAGGGGUCAAUUGAUCAUUUUGGUCAUGUUGACUUAUUUUUAGGUCUUACUUUGCUGUACAUUAUUACUGUUUACAGUUUAUCU
rnacentral:lncRNA from 1 species